rnacentral:rRNA from 1 species
AAACCAACCGGGAUUGCCUUAGUAACGGCGAGUGAAGCGGCAAAAGCUCAAAUUUGAAAUCUGGUACCUUCGGUGCCCGAGUUGUAAUUUGGAGAGGGCAACUUUGGGGCCGUUCCUUGUCUAUGUUCCUUGGAACAGGACGUCAUAGAGGGUGAGAAUCCCGUGUGGCGAGGAGUGCGGUUCUUUGUAAAGUGCCUUCGAAGAGUCGAGUUGUUUGGGAAUGCAGCUCUAAGUGGGUGGUAAAUUCCAUCUAAAGCUAAAUAUUGGCGAGAGACCGAUAGCGAACAAGUACAGUGAUGGAAAGAUGAAAAGAACUUUGAAAAGGGAGUGAAAAAGUACGUGAAAUUGUUGAAAGGGAAGGGCAUUUGAUCAGACAUGGUGUUUUGUGCCCUCUGCUCCUUGUGGGUAGGGGAAUCUCGCAUUUCACUGGGCCAGCAUCAGUUUUGGUGGCAGGAUAAAUCCAUAGGAAUGUAGCUUGCCUCGGUAAGUAUUAUAGCCUGUGGGAAUACUGCCAGCUGGGACUGAGGACUGCGACGUAAGUCAAGGAUGCUGGCAUAAUGGUUAUAUGCCGC